rnacentral:tRNA from 1 species
GGGGCUGGAGCUCAGUGGUAGAGCGCUUGCCUAGCAUGCAUGAGGAUUCGAUCCUCAGCACCA